GGAGUUGUUGUCCCAGUGGUAGAGUGCAUGAUUUGUAUGUAUGACGUCCUGGGUUCAAUCCCCAGCUUCUCCC